rnacentral:miRNA from 1 species
AACAACAACAACCAUGACAUCC